rnacentral:rRNA from 1 species
CCCAAAGUUAACGGCCGCGGUAUUUGACCGUGCGAAGGUAGCGCAAUCACUUGUCCUUUAAAUGAGGACCUGUAUGAAUGGCAUAACGAGGGCUUAGCUGUCUCCCCUGUCCAGUCAGUGAAAUUGAUCUCCCCGUGCAGAAGCUGGGAUAAAACCAUAAGACGAGAAGACCCUGUGGAGCUUUAGACGAUUAGAUGACCCGCAUGAGGCCGCUUCAACACAAUUGGGGCGACCCCUCAGUGAUUUAUCCUCAUCCUAUGUCUUUGGUUGGGGCGACCGUGGGGGAAAGAAUAUCCCCCAUGUAGGACUGAAAACCACUCCUUUUAUAGCUAAGAGCCUACCACUCGAAGCAUCAGAAUUUCUGACCUUUAUGAUCCGGCCUGACGCCGAUCAACGAACAGAGUUACCCUAGGGAUAACAGCGCAAUCCCCUCCCAGAGCCCGUAUCGACGAGGGGGUUUACGACCUCGAUGUUGGAUCAGGACAUCCUAAUGGUGCAGCCGCUAUUAAGGGUUCG